AGGACGAACGCUGGCGGCGUGCUUAACACAUGCAAGUCGAGCGAGGCCCUUCCUUCGGGAAGGUGUCCUAGCGGCGAACGGGUGAGUAACACGUGGGCAACCUGCCCUCAGCUCUGGGAUAACUCCGGGAAACCGGGGCUAAUACCGGAUACGACCUCUAAGGGCAUCCGAAGAGGUGGAAAGUUUUUCGGCUGAGGAUGGGCCCGCGGCCUAUCAGCUUGUUGGUGGGGUGACGGCCUACCAAGGCGACGACGGGUAGCCGGCCUGAGAGGGUGACCGGCCACACUGGGACUGAGACACGGCCCAGACUCCUACGGGAGGCAGCAGUGGGGAAUAUUGCGCAAUGGGCGAAAGCCUGACGCAGCGACGCCGCGUGAGGGACGAAGGCCUUCGGGUUGUAAACCUCUUUCAGCAGGGACGAAGCGAAGUGACGGUACCUGCAGAAGAAGCACCGGCCAACUACGUGCCAGCAGCCGC
rnacentral:rRNA from 1 species